GGUUUUUUGAUAAUAAUUUAAGAUCUGGCCUGCCCACKGAUUAWWUUAAAUGGCCGCAGUAUUUUGACUGUGCUAAGGUAGCAUAAUCAUUAGUUUUUUAAUUGAAAGCUGGAAUGAAUGGUUGGAUGAGAAAAUAACUGUCUCUAUAUAAAUUUAAUUAAAUUUUAUUUUUAAGUGAAAAAGCUUAAAUGAUUUUAAAAGACGAGAAGACCCUAUAGAGUUUUAUAAAAAUUUAAUUAAUUAUUUUUAGUAUUCAAAGUUUUUAGUUAUAUUUUUAUUUAAUUGGGGUGAUUAUAAAAUUUAAGUAACUUUUAUUUUUAAAAUUCAUUAAUUUAUGAGUAAUUGAUCCAUUUUUAGUGAUUAUAAGAUUAAAUUACCUUAGGGAUAACAGCGUAAUUUUUUUUUAGAGUUCUUAUUAAAAGAAAAGAUUGCGACCUCGAUGUUGGAUUAAAAUUAAUUUUUGGUGAAGAAGCUAAAAAGGGGGGUCUGUUCGACCUUUAAAAUUUUACAUGA
rnacentral:rRNA from 1 species